rnacentral:rRNA from 1 species
UACGUAGGGUGCAAGCGUUGUCCGGAAUUAUUGGGCGUAAAGAGCGUGUAGGCGGCCCGAUUAGUCCGCUGUGAAAGUCCAGGGCUCAACCCUGGAAUGCCGGUGGAUACUGUCGGGCUAGAGUCCGGAAGGGGCGAGUGGAAUUCCUGGUGUAGCGGUGAAAUGCGCAGAUAUCAGGAGGAACACCGAUGGCGAAGGCAGCUCGCUGGGACGGUAACUGACGCUGAGACGCGAAAGCGUGGGGAGCAAACAGG